UACAACUUUCAACAACGGAUCUCUUGGCUCUCGCAUCGAUGAAGAACGCAGCGAAAUGCGAUAAGUAAUGUGAAUUGCAGAAUUCAGUGAAUCAUCGAAUCUUUGAACGCACCUUGCGCUCCUUGGUAUUCCGAGGAGCAUGCCUGUUUGAGUGUCAUGAAAUUAUCAA
rnacentral:rRNA from 1 species